ensembl:snRNA RNU1-93P RNA, U1 small nuclear 93, pseudogene
AUUCUUACCUAGCAUUAUAGGCACAUGGCCACAAAGGUGGUUUUCCCAGGGCACAGUUUGUCCAUUGCACUUUGGAUGAGCUGACCCCUUGAUGUGUCUAAAUGUGGAAAAUUUGAUUGCAUAAUUUAUGGUAUUGGGGGAUGGGGGACUGCUUUCAGGUAGUUCCCUG